rnacentral:rRNA from 1 species
GAUGAACGCUGGCGGCGUGCUUAACACAUGCAAGUCGAACGGGAAUUAUUUUAUUGAAACUUCGGUCGAUUUAAUUUAAUUCUAGUGGCGGACGGGUGAGUAACGCGUGGGUAACCUGCCUUAUACAGGGGGAUAACAGUCAGAAAUGGCUGCUAAUACCGCAUAAGCGCACAGAGCUGCAUGGCUCAGUGUGAAAAACUCCGGUGGUAUAAGAUGGACCCGCGUUGGAUUAGCUUGUUGGCAGGGUAACGGCCUACCAAGGCGACGAUCCAUAGCCGGCCUGAGAGGGUGAACGGCCACAUUGGGACUGAGACACGGCCCAGACUCCUACGGGAGGCAGCAGUGGGGAAUAUUGCACAAUGGGGGAAACCCUGAUGCAGCGACGCUGUGUGAAGGAAGAAGUAUCUCGGUAUGUAAACUUCUAUCAGCAGGGAAGAUAGUGACGGUACCUGACUAAGAAGCCCCGGCUAACUACGUG